rnacentral:rRNA from 1 species
AGAGUUUGAUCCUGGCUCAGAUUGAACGCUGGCGGCAGGCCUAACACAUGCAAGUCGAGCGGUAGCACAGAGAGCUUGCUCUCGGGUGACGAGCGGCGGACGGGUGAGUAAUGUCUGGGAAUCUGCCUGAUGGAGGGGGAUAACUACUGGAAACGGUAGCUAAUACCGCAUAACGUCGCAAGACCAAAGAGGGGGACCUUCGGGCCUCUCGCCAUCAGAUGUGCCCAGAUGGGAUUAGCUAGUAGGUGGGGUAACGGCUCACCUAGGCGACGAUCCCUAGCUGGUCUGAGAGGAUGACCAGCCACACUGGAACUGAGACACGGUCCAGACUCCUACGGGAGGCAGCAGUGGGGAAUAUUGCACAAUGGGCGCAAGCCUGAUGCAGCCAUGCCGCGUGUAUGAAGAAGGCCUUCGGGUUGUAAAGUACUUUCAGCGGGGAGGAAGGCGAUAAGGUUAAUAACCUCGUCGAUUGACGUACCCGCAGAAGAGCACC